rnacentral:lncRNA from 1 species
GUCCAGCAGCAGGGACUAUGACUUCCUGGUCCCCAUCCAGUACAACACGAACCUGAUCCUUAUGGGCAGCCUGUAUAGAAAACUAUACACCCCAAAAAGUCUUCUGCCUGUCUGGGAGAGCUUGAAGCAUGGGGUGCCAGUGUACCGCUGAGGGAACAAAGUGGUGGUGGAUUAUAACAAACUGAUAAUAAGAGAUCUCUUGGAGAGGAAGACUGGAGACGUGGAUCUCACAGAGGAAGACAUAAAAACAAUAAAUGACCAGCAGAGCAAAGAAACCCUGCUACUGGAAUUAAUCUGCAAAGCUUUGACCUCUGUCAGCUGUUGGCUUUUGACUCCCACUCCUCUGUCUUGCCCUCUCCAAGGCAACGUUAGACUGGAGAACACNGGGGCACAAACCUCCAGUAGUGCCCCCCCAUCCCGAUAAAA